UGGGUUGUGGCUCAGUGGUAGAGCACUUGCCUAGCAUGUAUGAGGCCCUGAGUUCGAUCUUCAGCACCACAU
rnacentral:tRNA from 1 species